GCAAGCGCCGCGUGUGUGUGACGUCAUCUGAGAGCGCCACACGCAGUCCCGAAACCCCGAGCACCAUCUAGCUAAGGCGUUGCUGUAGAGACGAUGCGCCGAGUCCCGCCACCGAGGUGGGAUAGGAGGAGAACCGGUCAGGUGACAAGGAUGACGUUUCGAAAGCGCGCAGGAGGUCCUGUCGAAACGCAGAGCCCAAAAACCAAUUUGAGGGGCGACUUGACCGAAGCAGAGAUGGUGUUUUGCCAUGUUGGCCAGGCUUGUCUCCAACUCUUGACCUCAGAAGAUCUACCCACCUCGGCCUCCUAAAGUACUAGGAUUACAGUGCCAACUCUGCCUGGCAAGGAUUUUUGACUCUCUCGCCCACUGCCACAGCCUGGUGCCAGCACAGUGCCAGGCAUGUCCACCCUGCAGCAUUUACUGAGUGCCCACUGCACACCAGGCACUCGUCCUGGCUGCUUCUGCAAAUGUUUCUCCAGUGACUGAAGAACUAAAAUUCUUUAAACUCAAAGGAACUGUUGUGUCUUCUGAUUCCUCCGAGAGCUUUGAGGAGCUGAGCAGAUGCAGUGUCACUUUGCUGUCUCCCUCCACCCCACUGCCCCUCUGACUUCAUAUAUCAGCUCUCCUCACAAACAUGGGAAAGUGGGGUCAUUCCCAGGAAAGGCAGAGCCUUCCAUGACUUAGGAACCCAGGUGUUUGUUCCACGGAGGUCAAUUGCUCCCAGCUUUCUCUGAGCUUCUAGGAGGAAAUGCAUCUGAAAUGCUGUCACCCUCCCCUGAUCAUUAACAGAGCUGUUGAACUGGCGGAGUUGUCAGCGAGGCAACCACAGGCAGGCAGGCAGCCAUCGCACCGGCUCUGCAGAGAGGGCUGGAGAGCUGAUGCCCACGCCACGGGAAAGGGCCGGCGCCUGAGCCAACAGCCUGACUGGAAAGUCUGUGUAAGGGACACCUGGAGGAAGCAGGGGCCUCCAGCACCUCCUCCACCAACUAACCCGUGGUGCUCACCCCGCCCGCCAUGGGGGCUCACCACCCUUCCUGCCCAGAGAUACAGCCAGGCCGGAGGCUCACGAGUGUUCUCCCAACAAAUUGGAACUUCUUUUCUUUCGUCUCAUUUGAAAAGGUCUUUUGUGAGCUAGCAAGUGACCCCAAAGUAACCUCUCUGUUCCUGUUGGAAGGGAAAAUAUUUCCAGAUCGGAGAGACUGCAGCGCCAAGCCUUGGCCUCUAUGAAUACUUGAUUAUGAACACAGUCUCCUGAGCAUGUGCCUGUCAGUUUCAGAAAUGAACCCUGGCCGGGUGCAGGGGCUCACGCCUGUAAUCCUUGCUCUUUGGAAGGCCAAGACAGAAGGAUCACUUGAGCCCAGGAGUUAGAGACUAGCCUGGGCAACAUGGUGAGACUCUGUCACUACAAAAAAAUUUUUUUUUAAUUAGCCAGUAUAGUGGUGCACACCUGUAGUCCUAGCUACUUGGGACAAUGAGGUGGGAGGAUUGCUUGAGUCUCGGAGGUCAAGGCUGCAGUGAGCCGUGAUCACACCACUGCACUCCAGCCUGGGCGACAGAGUAAGGCCCUGUCUCAAAAACAAUCAAAUCAAAUAAACCCUUAAGCAAAGUAACUGCCAAUCAAGAGGUUUAUUAUUUGCCCCAUUGAGUAACUUAAGACCAAAGCUUCACAUUUUUGAGGGUGUGAUGUCAUAAAAUUCCCACGUAUGACCACAUUUUGAAAAAGUCAUUGUGUAUGUCUUGGAAAGUGAGAGGGUUAGCCUGUAACUUGGAAGAUAAACUCCUGAACUGGAAGUUUGAGGUGUACAAGCAGAAUGGGCCACCGAGCUGUCACAUUUGCUACGGUGAACUCAUGUGACUGCCCCAGAAUUAUCUGGAAGUUCGGUGUUCAUCUUCUGAAAAGAGCUGGGACCUGGGCAUGCCGGCUGUCGUAAGGGCAGUGUGAGCAGCUUUCUAUUUACAACCUUUGCACCUGGCACCUCAGUAGCACUUGCUUUCCAAAGGGGACCCUCUUUCCCGUGGAUUUUUUUUCCCACCUUUCUCCUUCUCUGUGUUAGUCCAGUUUAUCUCAGCCUGCUGGCAUGAAGAGAAGGACAGUUACAAAAGCCAUUUAUAAAAGGAGCAGGGAGGUAGUGCGCUUUUGUCUUUGCUUCUAAAACUGGGGCCGGGUAGAGACAAGACGGCCUGAGAAACAAUGCUGGGAGUGAGGAGCACGGACCGGCCAGGGACCCAGAAAAGCAGGUUUCCCUGACUUCAUGGUAAAGAGAAGGCAAAGACAGGUACUUAAGGCCAUGGACCUUCCUAGUCCGCUUGGGUGAGGCCUUUGGACGCUCCCCUGGAACCCAGCAUGCCUAAUCAAAAACUCCAGAUCUGAGCCAGCCGUGAUGGUGGUGCCUGUAAGUCCCAGCUACUCUAGAUUCUGAGGCAGGAGGAUCACUUGAGCCCAGGAGUUUGAGGCCAGCUGGGCAACGUAGCAAGAUCCUGUCAAAUUCCAGAUCUGUCACCCUCAGUUGUCUCUAGGGAGAGAGGGGCUCAAGAAAGGAAGGAGCAUUUAGAAUGGGAUGAAGAAAGGCCAGAAACGAGGAAAUGGGGGAAUGCACAGCAAAGCAAUUUAAAGAAGAGCCUGAGACUAAGACAGGGAUGUCAGGAAACAAGCCCAUAGUUUCUGUUGUCCUCUACGUCCAAACACAUCUUCAUCGCCAAAUUAUAGACUGAGAAGUGACAAGGCUAAAACAGUCAAGGGCUGGGAACUUAAGACUGUAAAACAGGCCAGGGGUGGGAGCUCACACCUGUAAUCCCAGCACUUUGGGAAGCCAAAAUGGGCAGGCCACCUGAGGCCCGGAGUUAGAGACCAGCCUGGCCAACAUGAUGAAAUCCCAUCUCUACUAAAAAUAUAAAAAUUAGCCGGGUGUGGUGACACAUGCCUGUAAUCGCAGCUACUCGGGAGGCUGAGGCAUGAGAAUCAUUUGAACCCAGGAGACAGAGGUUGCAGUGAGCCGAGAUUGCACCACUGCACUCCAGCCUGGGUGACACAGUGAGACAGUCUCAAAAAACAAAAUGUAAAACAUCUCACUUCUGACCUUCAGAGGGUCCUCCGCUUCCUCUCCCUCCGUCUCCUCCCUCUCCCUUCUUCGCCCCUUCCCCCCACCUCCUUCUCCUCCCUUCUUCGCCUUUUUCCUCCACCUCCUUCUUCUCCCCCUACCCCUCCUCCUUCCUUCACCCUAGGCACAGUCUGUCUUGGAGGAGCAGGAACCGCUCUGAAUGACACUGGCUGGGACAGAAGUGCCCUGGGGUCAGGCCUGAGGCAUUCGGGCCCAAACAAGGCAGCAUUUAUGCACGGGAGCUUUUCAAGGAGGUUUUGCAGAUACAAGGACGUUGGACAGAGAGGAACAGAGAAAUUCCAGAGAUUUUUCACGUGCAAGCGGAUAUUUCCUUUGAGAGUUUCUAGACUAAAUAAUACUCCUUGUGUCUAAGGGGACGGUGUAUACUGCUGACCUGGCAAUGUUCUCUGCCUGCAACAUGAGUGUGGGCAGGCCCCGCAGCUGCCCGGAGAGGGCUGUAAGCAGAGGAAGGUGAGGUGGCCUCAAUAAGCGUCUCACUGGAAACAGUCGCUGCUGUGCCCUCUGACUGACGCAACGCCAUUUCAGAUGUGGAGGAAGAAUCUCCUGGCAGAUCUUGGUACUCAAAUGGGCUGGACCUCUAAGAAAAAUAUACCCAGGCCUCUCUGUUCACCAAUUUUCAUUCUUACAUACAUACAUAUUUAUUUAAACAGACUUUAUACUUUAAGUAUAAAGUCUGCCGCAAACUUGAGCAGAAAAUACGGAGGUCCCAUAGACUCCCUUUCCCAACAUACACACCACCUCCCCCACUUCAGCAUCCUGCCCCUGUUUCAUCCUACAGUCGAUGGAACGAUAUUCACACAUCAUUAUCGCCCACGUCCAUCACCUACAUUACAGACUCUUGGUGUCAUGCGUUCUGUGCAUUUUGACAAAUGUACCAUGACAUGGACCUGCCAUUGCUGUGUCAUACAGAGUAAUUUCAGUGUCUGAGAAUCCUCUGUGCUCCACCUGGUAACCCCUCCCUCCCCCAUCCCCUGGUCCCCAAAGCUUUGCAUUUUCCAGAAUGUCACAUAGUUGGAAUCGUAUGGAACGUUGCUUUUCAGAGUGGCUUCUUUCAUUUAAUAAUAUGCAUUUGCAUGUUUUC